rnacentral:lncRNA from 1 species
UGAUUUUGGGGCCGUUUUGGGGUGAUUUGGGGCAGAUUUGGGGCUCACACUUGGAGGAACGCCGGCCCAGGUGCUCGUUGUCCACCGUGUCGCUCGACCACUCGACUUUUUUAUCCGGCUUCCUCUUCCUCAGCUUCAGCGUCAGACUGCGCUGCUCCUGCGGUCACUCGGGGUCACUCGGGGUCAUUCAGAGCUCAUUGGGGUCACUCGGGGUCACUCGGGGUCACUCGGGGUCACUCGGGGUCACUCAGGGGUCACUCAGAGCUCAUUGGGGUCACUCGGGUCACUCGGGGUCACUCGGGGUCACUCAGGGUCACUCAGGGGUCACCAGGGGUCAUUCAGGGGUCACUCGGGGUCACUCAGGGGUCACUCAGGGUCACUCAGGGGUCACUCAGGGUCACUUGGGGUCACUCAGGGGUCACAUUCCCAUUCCCAACCCCCAAAUUCCCAAAUUCCCAAUUCCCAGUAUUCCCAGUAUUCCCACUAUUCCCACUAUUCCCAGUAUCCCCAAUUCCCAAUUCCCAGUAUCCCAAAUUCCUGGUUCCAAAUAUUCCCAAUCCCCAAAUUCCCAAAUUCCCAAUUCCCAAAUUCCCAGUAUUCCCAGUAUCCCAAAUCCCCAAAUUCCCAAUCCCCAAUUCCCAAAUUCCCAAAUCCCAAAUUCCCAGUAUUCCCAGUAUCCCCAAUAUCCCCAAUUCCCGGUUCCCAGUAUCCCAAAUUCCCAACCCCAAUCCCAAAUUCCCAAAUCCCCAAAUCCCCAAAUUCCCGGUAUUCCCAGUAUCCCCAAUUCCCGGUAUUCCCGGUAUCCCCAAUUCCCGGUAUUCCCGGUAUCCCCAAUUCCCAAAUUCCCGGUAUCCCCAGUAUUCCCAAUUCCCAGUAUUCCCAGUAUCCCCAAUUCCCGGUUCCCAGUAUCCCCAAUCCCCAAAUUCCCGGUAUCCCCAGUAUUCCCGGUAUCCCCAGUAUUCCCGGUAUCCCCAAUAUCCCCAAUAUCCCCAAUUCCCAAUUCCCGGUAUUCCCGGUAUCCCCAAUUCCCGGUUCCCAGUAUCCCCAAUUCCCAAUUCCCGGUAUUCCCGGUAUCCCCAGUAUCCCCAAUUCCCGGUAUU